CAUAAAUAAAAAAGAAAAUUUCUUCAAACAUUUUUUUGAGAGGAUUAAUAUUCAACAGCAUAGUGAAUUGCUCUAAGAGAAAACAAAAUUUUAAGUUCAUUAGAACACAUUCAUUCUGUGUCAGAAACCUAUGCUGUGUCAACUAUUUAAUCACAAUCCAAAUUUAGAGCUGAAUCCAGCUUGAAUGUUGUGUCCAUACUUGCCCUAACCGUU
rnacentral:lncRNA from 1 species